rnacentral:rRNA from 1 species
UACAGAGGGGGCGAGCGUUGUUCGGAAUUACUGGGCGUAAAGGGCGCGUAGGCGGCCAACUAAGUCAGACGUGAAAUCCCUCGGCUCAACCGGGGAACUGCGUCUGAUACUGGAUGGCUUGAAUUCGGGAGAGGGAUGCGGAAUUCCAGGUGUAGCGGUGAAAUGCGUAGAUAUCUGGAGGAACACCGGUGGCGAAGGCGGCAUCCUGGACCAUGACUGACGCUGAGGAGCGAAAGCCAGGGGAGCAAACGGG